AGAGUUUGAUCCUGGCUCAGGGUGAACGCUAGUAGUAUGCUUAACACAUGCGAGUCGAACGAAGAAUAAUUCUUCGUGGCGUACGGGUGAGUAACACACAGGCAUCUGCCUUUUAGUUCAGGAUAAAAUUCUGAAUAAUCAAAGAAAACUUUUCGCUAAAAGAUGAGCCUGUGUAGGAUUAGGUAGUUGGUAUUUGGGUAAAAGCCUACCAAGCCUAUGAUCCUUAGCUGUUCUGAGAGGUUGUACAGCCACACUGGGACUGAGACAAGGCCCAGGCUUCAUUUGGAGCCAGCAGUGAGGAAUUUUGGACAAUGAGCGAAAGCUUGACCCAGCAAUACUACAUGAGUGAUGAAGGCUUUCAAGUUGUAAAACUCUUUGGUUGAGGAGGAUAAUGACAGUACUCAACAAAAUAGCCCCGGCUAACUUCGUGCCAGCAGCCGCGGUAAGACGAAGGGGGCGAGCGUUAUCCGGAAUGACUGGGCGUAAAGGGUCCGUAGGCAGCAUUUUUUGUUAGAGGUUAAAUAAAAAAGCUUAACUUUUUUCCGCUUCUAAAACGUAAAUGCUUUGAGUUUGAUAGGAGAUAGCAGAAUUUCACAUGGAGGGGUGAUAUCCGUAGAUAUGUGAAGGAAUACCAGAGGCGAAGGCGGCUAUCUAGAUCAAUACUGACGUUGAGGGACGAAAGCAUGGGGAGCAAACAGGAUUAGAUACCCUGGUAGUCC
rnacentral:rRNA from 1 species